UACGUAGGGUGCAAGCGUUAAUCGGAAUGACUGGGCGUAAAGCGUGCGCAGGCGGUUGGGCAAGACCGAUGUGAAAUCCCCGGGCUCAACCUGGGAAUGGCAUUGGUGACUGCACGGCUAGAGUGUGUCAGAGGGGGGUAGAAUUCCACGUGUAGCAGUGAAAUGCGUAGAGAUGUGGAGGAAUACCGAUGGCGAAGGCAGCCCCCUGGGAUAACACUGACGCUCAUGCACGAAAGCGUGGGGAGCAAACAGA
rnacentral:rRNA from 1 species